UUGGUCUUGAAACGCAUUUGUGUGAAUUGGGGUUGGGGAUGGGGGCAGAGCAAAAACAAGAUACAGCUUUCUAAUUGUUUUACAGAGAAUUUAAUCAGCACGAAUUCUCCAAGAAUGACACUGAUCACACAGCAGGUGCUUGAUAAAUGCAUGUUGAUUAAUUGAUUUAGAAUACACCAGCUGUCGGUGAAAGAAUGUGAUCCACAAUCAAACCAUUUGACAGAAGAAAGCCAGGAUGGCUUUUAAAAUUAGUAACAACAUAGAAAUCUACAUGCAAAUAAUUCAGAGAUGGUGGUGCUGUCUUUGGUUCCCUUCCUAGAUGAGAACAAGAUAAAUCAUACUCUGCUUUGGGAAGAAGGUAUUCAGUGUUUAAGGCUGUAAACAGAGGAACACAUUCUCCAGUCAUUUGUUUCUAGCAGUAUGUAUGUAUCCGGGAGGCCUUCUGAUUGCAGAUACCAAGUUGUGGGAAGGAGAAAGGCAGUGGGAAGCAUAUGUGAUCAUAAGUGAUCUCCCCUGAUCCUGGUGAGCUUUGAAUUUUCCUCCUCUUAAAUUUCAUAAGGUUGAAAAAGAGAAGUAAAAAAGACUUUUGGAAAGCCAGGCUUAAAUGGGUGGAGGGGAAUCUAAUCAAGCCUCUAGAACUUCUACUGGUUUAUAGAAAGUAUCAGAUAAAGAAUGCACACAGGGACGCAAUCAGCCAAAUCUAGGAAGGGGAAAAUUCUACAGGACAAAUGACCUGGUUUUUUCAAUAGAUAAUAAAUUCUAGAAUUAUUUUGUAAAUAACAUGAUUGCAUUGGACGACAGUGCCCCCUGGUAGAAUACUGUUUUAGGCUGGGAUCCCUAGAUACAAAUUCUGGGUGGGGAGUUGAAAGCAGAAGUUUACUGCAGCAAUACCACUGUGAGGAAGUAAGGAAGGUGGGACUGGACACUGAAGAAAGUGACCACAAGGGCAGGUGCGGUGGCUUACACCUGUAAUCCUAGCACUUUGGGAGGCUGAGGUGGUAGGAUCACCUGAGGUCAGGAGUUAGAGACCAUCCUG
rnacentral:lncRNA from 1 species